rnacentral:ribozyme from 14 species
CUUUCUCUCUUUUUUUUUUUGACCUCGUCCAAAAGGGUGGUCGAUAUUUUCGUGGUCAAAAAGCGCUUUUUGAGUGAACCCAUUCUUUGCGAUGGAAAAAGAACACCCUCAAAAAGUGUGAGUUUUGAUCUCAUCUCUCUCUUUUUUUCUCUUCUUCUUUCGCAAAAAAAAAAAAAGCCAAAAAAAGA